AUAUUUGUGCCCUUUGUUCUC
rnacentral:piRNA from 1 species